UGUUUUUAUACCAAACGUGGCGGCUUUUCAAGUGUUUUGUGUCUAUCCGGUGUUGAGCCAACGAUUUUAAGAACAUCUCCGAAUCUCCAGAGAGCUGCCGCCAUCUCCAAACCUGUUUUGGCUUUGCCGUCCUAGUACAGUAUGAGGGAGAUUGAGGCAUUGUGGGAGGAAGCUAGGGAGCUGAGUCUGGGGAACUCCGGGGGAGUAGAGAGGCUGGACUCUCCCCCAACCCCUCUCCAAUUCCUCAGAGACUUUGUGUCCCCUAACAAGCCCUGUGUUAUCUCCAACGCCACUCGUCACUGGCCCGCCCUCUCCUCCUGGUCCCACGAUUCCUACCUCACUCGAGCCCUCUCCUCUGCUCAUGUCUCCCUCCACCUUACCCCCAAUGGCCGAGCCGACGCUGCCGUCCCCAUAAAUUCCGACGACCCAUCUACCCUCUGCUUCGCCUCCGCACACGCCCUGCGUAUGCCCUUCCCGGAAGCUCUUAAUCUCAUCGUCAAUCCCCAUUCCACCAAUUUCGUGGCGUAUGCCCAGCAGCAGAACGACUGCUUCCGGUCCGAGUACUCGGCGCUGGCUCAGGACUGCGACGCUCACAUCCCUUGGGCCACCGACGCCCUCGGAUGCCUCCCUGAAGCUGUUAAUCUUUGGGUUGGUAACCAUCUUUCCGAGACCUCUUUCCACAAGGACCACUACGAGAAUCUCUACGCCGUCGUUUCCGGUGAGAAGCAUUUCCUGCUGCUUCCUCCCACCGAUGUUCAUCGUAUGUACAUCCGCAACUACCCUGCCGCGCGUUAUUCUUAUUCCCAGGACACUGGAAAGUUUACAUUGGAGUCUGAGAAGCCAAUGAGAUGUGUACCUUGGUGCAGUGUGGAUCCGUAUCCUUCUCCGGAGGCUAAACACAGUGCGAUGUCCAGAUUCCCCUUGUAUUUCAACGGCCCAAAACCCUUUGAGUGUACGGUCAAGGCUGGAGAGAUUCUUUACUUAAAAAUCCUCAACUAUUCUGAAGUUCCGACUGCAAGAAAAAAUGUUCAACUGAGUGACAGUCUCAAAAUCAAUGGAAGUUAGAGAUUCAUGAAAGAACCUGAUCCUGCGAAGGUCAAUUCUUUUAGAGGACUUCAAGGAAAUGGUUUCUAAUCCAGCAAUGUGAAUUGACCUUUUUAGGUUAGAACUGGAUCAGUAUCAUAUAAGUUUAUAAAACUGGAACGGUAAAAUGUGAUGAAGAUGUUUGAGCAAACUAAUUGUUAAGUACUUCUUGCGUAUGAGAUUAUAGAGGAUCUUUCAUGGUUUCAGAGGUGAUACUUCUCUUAUUUAGGAGAAGACUGGAGGACAUCAUCCUGUUGAAUUUCCCAUGAUAAACGUUGAUGGAAUUGUUAUUUCUCAUAGAAUGAGGGAUUGGAAAAACUGGGCUCCUUUUUACCUCAUCUUGACUACAAUGCAAAGCCCUCCUGACUUGAGGGAGGAUAUCAAUCCUGAAUUUAGCAACUUCCAGUGGGUGAUUUAAUGUUUCUAAGACAGUUGGAAAAUUGGGAAGUUCUUAUGAUAAAUUUUGAAACCAAACGGACAUUCACUUGGGGUGUUUUUGCUUGGGAUCUCAAGGGGAACUAUAGUUUUGUGGUUGGUUUGUGUUUGAGCUUAGUGAACAGAGCAAUCCUCUGAGGGUGGCAUAUGAGAAGAAAUCAGAAGUGUGUUUUUAUCUGAUCAUAACUUGAGUUUUUCUUUUAAUAUUUAAUCCUAUCAUUUGAUGUGGCACUUUCUUCUAAACAUAAUUCGAGUUUUAAUUUUAAGGCUGGAUUGUGGAGUUGACGCAGGCCAAGUAUGUGGUUUCAUCAUGUUAGACAGAGUCCAGAUGCUGCAGGGCGGACUAUUGCAAUAAACUACUGGUAUGAUAUGCAGUUUGAUAUCAAGUAUGCCUAUUUCAACUUCUUGCAAUCAGUUCCUUACCGCUCAACUCAUAAUCCAACAUUGCCUGGAACAAUGUCUGAUGACUUGGAUUUGGAUUCAGACUCUGAUUCAUUUGCAUAUGGCUUUAAGGACAAAUUAG